rnacentral:misc_RNA from 1 species
AAGUCGUAACAAGGUUUCCGUAGGUGAACCUGCGGAAGGAUCAUUAUUGAAUAACUUGGUGUUGAGCUGGCCCUAGUCGGGCAUGUGCUCGCAUCAUAUUAUUUAUCUAUCUCUUGUGCACCUUUUGUAGUCUUUGAAGCAUUUGCAGUCAAUGCAGUUUUGGGUCUUGGGCUUUGUCGCCCUUUGCCCUGUUUGCUUCAGAGGCUAUGUUUUUAUACACCCUAUUUGAAGUCACAGAAUGUCUAUUAUUGACUUGAAAGUCAGUAAAUCUAUACAACUUUCAGCAACGGAUCUCUUGGCUCUC